rnacentral:rRNA from 1 species
UACGGAGGGUGCAAGCGUUAUCCGGAUUCACUGGGUUUAAAGGGUGCGUAGGUGGGUUGGUAAGUCAGUGGUGAAAUCUCCAGGCUUAACUUGGAAACUGCCAUUGAUACUAUCAAUCUUGAAUACCGUGGAGGUCAGCGGAAUAUGUCAUGUAGCGGUGAAAUGCUUAGAGAUGACAUAGAACACCAAUUGCGAGGGCAGCUGGCUACACGAAUAUUGACACUGAUGCACGAAAGCGUGGGGAUCAAACAGG